AAAACCUUCCUGACACAUUAUCAGUGUGAAACAGACUCAAGUACGUUUUCUGGCAGUCGGUGGAAGAAACGUCUAAAGCCACCAACCAAUUGUUUUCCAAUCAAUGUAGCAAUCCAGGGAAUGUAGGGAGUAUUCUUUCAGCCUGCUGACAUCCUCCAUUGUGGGCAAGGGAACUAUUGGACUUAAAUGGAAAGCACAGAGAAUCACAAAUGGCAGAAGAUAACGAAAACUGGACCAAAGAAGAACUAAUAGUAUCAUCCAUCCUUGGACAGUGCUUUGUUCCUGCAAGUGUCACGAGUGUGGCCUGGGAAAGUUUGAAUUCCUUUGAGAAGAAAUAAAAAUUGUGGAAUCCACAGACCUCUAUGGAGCUACAGUGUGGUCUUCUGAGUAUGAGUAACUGCAACAGAUCUAAAGGAGCUUGUUGGAAACCUUCAGUACAACAUUACUCGUAACACGAAAGAGAAAUGCAAAUAUCCACCUCAAGUUAAAGAGCUGACCUGGGGACAGGACUUAGACAAAACAUUUUCUAAAUCAUCCAUAACAUUUGAUCAUAUCCUCAAAGCUGAUGUUGUUUACCAUCACUCUUGUUUGGAGGAGCUUCUAGAAAAAUUUGAUCUUUUGUGCCAGGAUAAUACCACAAUCCUCUGGGUCAUGAGAUUUAGAGAACAAAGCACAAGACCUACCAAUGAAUUUCUGGCCAAGUUUCAGAAAUUGUUUGACAUGGAUAUUAUCUAUGACUUUCCUAGUCUGGACAUAAAACUAUACAGAGCUGUCAGAUGCUGCAGGAAAAUAGUCUAAUUGCAAUCUUUUUUUAAUUAUAUAUUUAAGUAUUGUUAAGUUUCUAAAAUUAAUUAUAACAUAUUUAAUAAAUUUAAUGAAGGUGGUGUUGCUAGAAUAUAUUUUUUUCUUUAAGUGUAUAGAAUGUAGUUAUAACAUAAAC